UGUUUUUACUUUCAGUAAAACAAACAAUCCUCUAGUAGGAAAAAGACGUUGCAACACUCCAAGAUAUAUUGGAGAUCUACGUCCUGAAGAUUUUAAUUCAUAUCAAUGUUGGAUUAUGUUCCAUAGAUAUUUGACAGAAACAAGAAAGAAAUUAAAAUAUUUAAAAAGUGAAAAUAAUCGUUUAAGUAACAAAGUAGCCAGAUUACAAGUGAUAUUUGAUCAUUUCAAAGAGAAAGGACUUAUUUGUAGUAAUGACAGGGAUUGCUUCAUAGAGUCCACAAAAGAAAUUACUACAAGUUCUAUAUGAAUAUAUAUCUGAAAAAAAAUAACUCACGACAUAUAUUUUUCUUGUAAUAUUAAAAAUACUGUUAAAAAAAUAGACAGUAUCAGCUGCAUAUUAUUUGAAACAGAAUUGUGACAUUGUCAGUAAACAAAUACAAAAUUAUGAGAUGAAAAAUCCACAAAUAUACAAGAAAUUUGUUUAUAUAUGACAAUUCACUAACACAUUCACUACUAUGUCAUAUGUGUAUACAGGUUUGCAAUCUUUCCUUUACUAAAGAUCGGAAAAAGUGAAGUGAAAUGCUCAUAAAACAUUGAAAACGAAUCCAUGAAGGACAUAGUACCAAUCCAGAAGAGAAGCAAUCAAUGAGGAUAUUUAUGCUACACAAUUGUAUAUCGUUAUAAUUUUUGGCUUGGUGUUCAAUAAGCCACGGAGUAUCACAAUUCUUUUGUUUUCAGAGCGAUAUUAUAUAGGGUGAUUCAAAACAAUUUCCUGUUCUUGAAAUGCCAUAUAUAUUCUUCUGGAAUUCUGAGACAAUUUUUCCUUUUGUAAAAUGUUAUCCGAAACUUAGUUUUUGAAUUAAUAAAAUAAAUAGUUUGCUUGUUACGAUUCGGAUACAGGAAGUAAGCAGAAGCGACGCAACUUAUCGAUAGAUACAAGCACUCAAGUGGGAUGUCUGGUGCUACAGCUAAUUGAUACAUGUGAUAGUGUUUAUACAUAUUAUACACAUUACUUUUAUAAUUUUCGUUAAUAUGUAACAGGAAAUAACGUGCUUUAAAUUAGUAGAAUACAAUUAUAAUAUAAUAUUUGAGAGUGAAAUAUUCGAUUACGUUUUAGCUAACUGGAAAAUAACCUUUAAAAAUACGAACGAGAGGCGGAGUGUUAAUAGUCAUAGUUUGAAAAGCAUAAGAUGUUUUUACAAUUAAGAAAACCAACGAAUUAUAAUCACAUCUUACUAAUUUAAAACAUUUUAUUUGCUAUUGCGCACGAUUAUUGACAAAAAUUAUAAAAAUGAAUAUAACUAUUGUCAUACAUCUAAUUGCCCAAGGCGUCCUACGCUGGUGCUUGCUGACACCUAACUGUGAAUUGUGUUGCCUCUGUCUUCCUAUGCUCAAUUCGUAAUAGACAAACUAUUUAUUUUUAUAACUUAAACACUAAGUAUUGGAUAAAUAACAUUUUACAGAAGGAAAAAUUGUCUCAAAUUUCACUUUUAUUCAAGAAUAUGAUAUUUCAAGAACAAAAAGUUUCGAGUCGCCCCGUAGAAUGGAUUAAUAACUUAAUAAUCUAUAAAUAAUCUCUCGGUUUUAUUUUCAAAAAAACGGAUGAUGAGAGAGAGAGAACUUUUUCUCGUAAUUACAAGCAAUUCAGUGAAAAAUCUACAUGUUUGUAAUUUAUAUGUUUAUUUGUAAAAUUGUAAGAUUUUUUUGUUCAGUUUGACCUAAUUUAUAUUCCUACACAAGUUUUAUAUCUUAUUGUCAGACAUCCUGUGUACAUAUAUUGAAUAUAUAUAUAUAUAUAUAUAUAUAUAUAUAUAUAUAUAUAUAUGUGUGUGUGUGUGUGUGUGUGUGUGUGUUAAAAUUUAAAUAUUCCUUACUUAAAAAUAAUAAGAAUUUCCAGGAUUAGUGUAUAAGCAUUAGCACUUUAAUUUAUUUCAUUUUUUAAAAGAAUUUGUUAUAAUAUCUUUUACAAGUUUGCUGUAUACUAUAUAUACUUGAUAAUAAUACUACUAUAUAUACUUAAUAAGAUAUAUACUUAUAAAUAUAUAUACUUUAUAUGUAUAUAUACUUGACUAUAUAUACUUGAUAAGAUAUCAUUUUUUUCGAUAAUUUUAUUUUUAAGUUCACACCUUAUUCACUAAUAAUAAGAUAAUAGUUUUUUAAAAUUGGCUUCAGUUCUGCAAUAUAAGCUGUAAUUAAUAAUACAAAAAGAAUGACAGAAAAAUUCAAUUCAGGAGCAAAAAUACUUGUUGAUUUCAAGUUGAUUAAAUACUAGUCAAAGAAUGAAUUGAAUAUGAGUUAACGGAUGUAUAGCAAAAUAGAUGAUUUAGGAUUUUAUAUAUAACAAAGGCAAUGUAAGGAAACACUCUUGUACACACUUUGCACUCUUGUAUAUAUAUUGUGUAUGUAUGUGAUAGGAAAAAUAUCAAAAUAUUCCUUUGUUUAAGUUUGAAAUGAAUGAAUGUAAUAUAUAAUAGUAAUGUACUUGAAAAUAAUAUAAUGAUCAUGAAAGAGUAUCAUGGGUGUACAGAAAAGACAAGAGACAACAGCAAAGCAGCUACUAAAAUUGUUUAGUUAACAGCUUUAAAAACAACUAUUUUGUAUUAUUGUGUAAAAAUUAUUAAAAAAAUAAAUAUUCUUAAAUAAAAUUUAAUAUCUGUAUAUGAAAAUCGCUUUU